UCGAAGGGGGCUAGCGUUGUUCGGAUUUACUGGGCGUAAAGAGCUCGUAGGCGGUGUGUCACGUCGGCCGUGAAAACCUGCAGCUUAACUGUGGGCGUGCGGUCGAUACGGGCAUCACUGGAGUUCGGCAGGGGAGACUGGAAUUCCUGGUGUAGCGGUGAAAUGCGUAGAUAUCGGAAGGAACACCAGUGGCGAAAGCGGCUUCCUGGUCCAGCACCGACGUUCAGGCACGAAAGCGUGGGGAGCAAACAGG
rnacentral:rRNA from 1 species